ACAUCCGUGAACAAUCUAGACAAUCCCUCACAGACAUUGCCCUCAAAGCACUUCCUCUGAGGAGGCUCUCCUCUUGGACAGUUCUCAGUUGUGACAAAUGGAUAUUUAAAACUAACCAGAACACCAUUCCACCCAGUCCAGGAUGACCCUGGAGAAAGCCCCAGAGUUGUGUUGUGUGGUGGAGCUUGGUCAUGGGCAAUAAAAAGAGCAAUCUGGAUGAAGCCUCUUGUCCCCAAUAGAACCAUAAAUUUAAUUUUUGAGAUUGUUUCUGAAUGAGAUUUUUUUAUAUAUAUUGACUGUAUUUUUGGGCAGAGAGGGGUUGGGUUUUAAAAAUAUUUUUAUUUAUUAUUAUUUUUUAUUUUUUUAUUUUUUUUGAGACAGGGUUUCCCUGUGUGGCCCUGGCUGUUCUGGAACUCUCUCUACAGCCUAGGCUGCUCUUGAACUCAGAGAUCUGCCUGCCUCUGCCUCCUGAGUGCUGAGAUUAAAGAUGUCCAUGGUGGCACGUAGCUUACAUUGUAUUUUUUUUUUUUAGUGUGAAAACAUUUAUUUAUUAUACUGAACAUUUAAAUAUAAUGAUGUAUACACCUCUUUAUUAUGUCGUUCUUUGUUAUUUUUUUCAAGCUUUGUGGCGACUGAGGGUGGUGAAGAGGGAGUGAAGCAGCUUCCACCUCAGUUGUACCAGCUUAGGGCCUUUGGGAUGCAGUGAUCGAGGUGUGGUAAGACAGCCAGUUUUACUGAGGUGCUUUACCUGGGCAAGGUAAAGGUGGCUGAAAUGGGGUCUGACAGCGGAAGAUUGCAGAGUGGAAAAAUGGAAAGGCAUGUUCUAGUCAGUGCUCUAUUGCUGUGAACAGACACCAUGAUUGUGGCCAGUCUUAUAAAGGCAAACAUUUAAGUAGAGCUGGCUUACAGUUUCAGAGGUUCAGUCCAUUGCCAUCAUGGAGGGGAGCAUGGGCACACAGGCAGACAUGGUUCAGGCAGCAGGAAGAGAGAGAUACUGGUCCUGGCUUGGGCUCUGAAACUUCAAAGCCCACCCCCAGUGACACACUUCCUCUAACAAGGCCACACCUCCACCAACAAGGCCACACUCCAUAAUCCUUUCAAAUAGUGCCACUCCCUGGUGACCAAGCAUUCAAAUCUGUGUGCCUGUAGGGGCCAUGCUUAUUCAAACUACCACAAGGCAGAAACAGGGAGAACCCAGACAGCAAUGCAGGGCUCUCACAGGAGAGCUACAGAGUCAGGACUGCCUACUGUAGUGUCCCCAAACCUUUGUUACUGCACUGUGCUUUAUCAUUGGCUGGGGGAUCCUGGGGUCGCAUGAGACCUCAGCUGUGAACUCUGUCAGCCAAUUAUAUUCCUUGCAUUUGAAUAGAGACUUUAAUAUCC
rnacentral:lncRNA from 1 species